GCCACUAUAGCCAAUAUUUGACAACACUAAUACUCAUAAAUCACAAAUUGCUCAAAUCAUAAACCCUAACUCACACUGGUUAACAAAAAAAACAUUAUAAAAAAAAAUACAAAACGUGUGAUUCAUGAAAUAGACAAGUUGAACAAAUUGAACAAAGAAACAGAACAUCUAAAAUAAAACCCUAAAUUAAUGAACGGUAAAACUAAACAGAAGUGAAAUUGUGAAAGAAGAAGAGUGUUGUACCGAUAUGAGAAGGUAUGCGAGGGAUUUGGCGGUAGCAAUGACAGUUUGAAGAAUGAGAGCUUCGGCUAUGGAGGAAACAAGCAUCGUGUUGUUUGGAAAGGAGAGAGUUGGAAGGUCCGUUGCCGACAUGGUGGUGCUGUGAAUGUUGUGCUUCGUUAGAGAAUCGGCGAGAGUGUGCGGGAAGGUCCCGUUAGGGUUUAUCAUUCAAAUUGAUAUCGCCUCACCAAAUUGUUUCAUUCCACCUCACCUUCGCUCGGGAAACGUUUUUUAUGGCUUAAUCUAUC
rnacentral:lncRNA from 1 species